UCCCUGGAGGACUAGUGGUUAGGCCAUGGUGCUCUCGCUGCCAUGGCCUGGGUUCGAUUCUCAGCCAGGGAA
rnacentral:tRNA from 1 species